AGGUGUUAACUCUGCAAUAUCUUACAUUUGGCCUCAUUUUUGUUUAUUAACAAGUUUGGCAAGUUCAGGCGUUAACUCUGCUGCAUCUUACAUUUGGCCUCACUUUUGUUUGUUAAGAAGUUUGGCAAGUUCAGUGAUGGGAAUGAAGAAGAAAAGAAAUAGCGUUUCAUGUCUUAAUGUCAAUAUAGAAUUUUAAACUGUGGCAAGGCUGGAAGCUUUGUGUUAAAAAGGAUAUCUCCAAAGCAGGUUUGAUGUUUCCAUUCAAGACUCAUUAUCAACUUUUAGUUACCUGGAAUUUUUUUUUCAUGAAAUCAGUAGCAGGUAGGAUAUUUAAGCCUUUUUGUGAUUUUCUAGCCACUACAUGUAGGAUAUUGAAGCAUUUUUGUGAUUUUCUAGACACUACACUAAGGCUAAGAUGCUAGAUGCAAGGGCAUUGUACGUACACACAGAUACAUCUGCACACACUUGGCCACCAACAUGCUCUAUUGUGUAUGUAUCACGCUUCUCUACAUGUUGAACACUCCAACAUCUAUUGUCAUGCAUAAUUAUCUGGUAAUUUAUGAUAACAUUCAUUUUAAUUGAGAGGUAGUUUUUGACUUUUGAAAUAUUUUAAUUGUCUGACACGUGUUACUUAAUGUGACAAGGACAAUAUAAGAAGUAUAUUGAGUUUCAUUUUCAUUAUUGUUUUGAUAAUUUAGGAACAAAGCUAAUUAUCAUUUUUUUUACUAUAUUAAAGUUUUUAAAUUUGAAAAAUAAAAAAUAAUAAUAAUAAAAGAAGGAUAGCUGACUGCUUAUUUUUGACUUGAGAUUUUUAGAAUUGCCAAAUUCAAAUGGUUUCUUCAUUAUUGAAGCAAAUGGUGAGUUAAACCAGCAACAUAUAUUGGUACAUUAUAAAUAUGUUUCGGUAUGAUGGUUUUAGCAAUUUGAAAAUUGAGAACACUUCUCCUCUCUACCCCACCAUAAAUGAAGAAACAAGCUGAAAAUAUUGGUGCCAAGUAUCUAUAUAUGUAGGAUAUCCCUGGUUAGGAAAUGGCUCUGUACAAUAGUCUUAUGUUUUCCAAUGCAUGUUGGUUUGGAUGCAAUUAUGCAUCAGGGAUAUGUUUGUUUAUAGUUAUGCAGUAGCAUUUUUGAAUUAUAUUAAAGAAUGUUUUCAAGCGUUUUCCUAGGGUUUAAGAUGUCUUUUUUUGCUUAAUUUUGCCACAAAUAUCUUAGUUAUGAUGCUUAUUUUUCAUGCAAUCUGAUAGUUUCUCUCCUUUUUCUUUUGCUCCUUAAUUCUCAAGAUUGGAAAGCAAGGUUAAAUGUACCCCUUCCUAAUACCUGCUUUGAAACAAAGGUAUGUUUUCCAUGCUUUUGUUAUAUUGUCUACAUUCUCCAUGCUUCUUCGAAGCUAUAUCAAGGGAAGCUAAUUUCAGGUUUUAUGUCUUUAAUUUCUAUAUUUGAGUUGAUUUUAUCAUAUCAUUUAGUAUCGUUCACCAGUAUGGUCAAAGCAUGCUUAAUUUGUUUUUCCUUUGUCACACCUGCUGCCCUUCUUUUCCUAUUUUAGAUUGUAGUGCAGCAUUAUUUGUUAUGUGGAUAAUUAUGGUUGAAUUAAAUUUUUUUCGGGAGGUUGUAACAUGUUGUAUGGCAUGGUAUUUUUAUAUAUAAAUAAACAUAACCUUAGAAUAAAUAGAUGUCAAUACACAUCAUUUUUUGUUUUUCAACAUAUUUUUUUAUAUAAAUAUUAAAUUUAUCACUUACAAAAGAUUUAUUAUAUUGAUGUUUUUACUUGAUUAGGUUUUUAG